UACAGAGGUCCCAAGCGUUGUUCGGAUUCACUGGGCGUAAAGGGUGCGUAGGUGGCAAGGUAAGUUCGAUGUGAAAUCCCCGGGCUUAACCCGGGAAUGGCAUUGAAUACUAUCUGGCUAGAGGGUCGGAGGGGAGACUGGAACUCUCGGUGUAGCAGUGAAAUGCGUAGAUAUCGAGAAGAACACCAGUGGCGAAGGCGAGUCUCUGGACGACUCCUGACACUGAGGCACGAAAGCUAGGGGAGCAAACAGG
rnacentral:rRNA from 1 species